UGCAGAAUCCCGUGAACCAUCGAGUUUUUGAACGCAAGUUGCGCCCGAAGCCGUCUGGCCGAGGGCACGUCUGCCUGGGUGUCA
rnacentral:rRNA from 1 species